AAGCCCCACCUAGAGGAACACAGGUGAAAUGAAUUAAGCUAGUUUUCCAGUAAAGAGAGAGAGAAACCAGGAAGGGGAUAACACAUUUCUUUAGCUUCUUCCUCUGCUGAAGGAAACUUACACUGUGAGAAGAGGCUAUGUGGUCUUUUGCAACGAUGCAGCCUUAGACUAAGGGCUUGAGAGGUGUGGGAUAAAAGUCUGGGACAUCUUGAGUCAAGCUAUUUUAAACUUUUGUCAGAAAAAGUGCCUUAGAAAUCCCCGCUUACAGCAAGUAUCAAAUCCUGCGAGACUGGAGCACCACCUGAACUUGGCCUUCUUCCUACGUGUGGUUUGCCAGUGGCUCUGUGACAAGUACAAGACCUGGAAGAAACCUCCAUCCUCAAAGACUUGGAAAAGGCUGUCCUGGAGCCUGCGUGGAGGUUACAAAAAUCAUCCCUCUGGUGGUGGCCUGAGCAGAUUACUUCAACCCCAAUGUUGCCCUGAACGUUGCAUUCAAGAUUUGAGAAGAUUAGGACUGCUAAGAAAUGGUAUAGACCUAACAGAAGCAGAAGAUAUUAAGAAGAGGUGGCAAGAAUACAGAGAACUCUACAAAAAUGAUCUUCAUGACCCAGAUAACCAUAAUGGUGUGAUCACUCACCUAGAGCCAGACAUCCUAGAAUGCAAAGUCAAGUGGGCCUUAGGAAGCAUCACUAUGAACAAAGCUAGUGGAGGUGAUGGAAUUCCAGUUGAGCUAUUACAAAUCCAAAAAGAUGAUGCCGUGAAAGAAUUGCGUUCAGUAUUCCAGCAAAUAUGGAAAACACAGCAGUGGCUACCGGACUGGAAAAGGUCAGUUUUGAUUCUAAUCCCAAAGAAAGGCAAUGCCAAAGAAUGUUCAAACUACUGCACAAAUGCAUUAAUCUCAUAUGCUAGCAAAGUAAUGCUCAAAAUUUUCAAGCCAGGCUUCAAUAGUACAUGAAACAUGAACUUCCAGAUGUUCCAACUGGAUUUAGAAAAGGCAGAGGAACCAGAGAUAAAAAUUGCCAACAUCCAUUGGAUUAUGGAAAAGCAAGAGAAUUCCAGAAAACAUCUAUUUCUGCUUUAUAGACUAUGCGAAAGCCUUUGACUGUGUGGAUUACAACAAACUGUGGAAAAUGUUUAAAGGGACGAAAAUACCAGAGUCCACCUGACCUUCAUUCUGAGAAAUCUGUAUGCAGGUCAGGAAACAACAGUUAGAACUGGACAUAGAACAACAGACUGGUUCCAUAUUGGGAAAGGAGUACAUCAAGGCUGUAUAUUGUCAACCUGCUUAUUUAACUUAUAUGCAGAGUACAUCAUGAGAAAUGCUGGGCUGGAUGCAGCACAAGCUGGAAUCAAGAUUGCCGGGAGAAAUAUCAAUAACUUCAGAUAGGCAGAUGACACCACCCUUAUGGCAGAAAGCGAAGAAGAACUAAAGAACGUCUUGAUGUAAGUGAAAGAAGCGAGUGAAAAAGUUGGCUUGAAACUCAACAUUCAGCAAACUAAGAUCAUAGCAUCUGGAAACAGUGGCUGACUAUUCUCUUGGCUUCAAAAUCACUGCAGAUAGUGACUGCAGCCAUGAAAUUGAAAAAUGC
ensembl:lncRNA